AUUGAACGCUGGCGGCAGGCCUAACACAUGCAAGUCGAGCGAGUGGCGGACGGGUGAGUAAUGUAUGGGGAUCUGCCUGAUGGAGGGGGAUAACUACUGGAAACGGUAGCUAAUACCGCAUACCAUCGGAUGAACCCAUAUGGGAUUAGCUAGUAGGUGGGGUAACGGCUCACCUAGGCGACGAUCCCUAGCUGGUCUGAGAGAAUGACCAGCCAGACUGGGACGGAGACACGGCCCAGACUCCUCCGGGAGGCAGCAUUGGGGAAUAUUGCACAAUGGGCGCAAGCCUGAUGCAGCCAUGCCGCGUGUAUGAAGAAGGCCUUCGGGUUGUAAAGUACUUUCAGCGGGGAGGCGUUACCCACAGAAGAAGCACCGGCUAACUCCGUGCCAGCAGCCGCGGUAAUAC
rnacentral:rRNA from 1 species